UGCACUUUAUUAAAGCAUAUUAAAGCAAGGAAAUAGAUGGACUCUUAUCUAUCCUGAAGAGAUGUAGCUCUUUCACUUCCAUCUUCAAUCAGGGAUUACAGGGAUCAUUCCGGGUGUUUUUGCAGUAUAGUUCGAAGCAGAUUUUAUCGGCGAGAGCAUGAAUAUGGGUAAAAAGGGGAACUUUCAGAGGCUUGAAGAGGCAAAGCGAAUGGAAAGAAGAGUGCCCGUGCCUCCUGCUAUGUAACCACACAAACUCAUACCAGUCACAUGGCGUGAAAAUCUUUGCGGUUUUUUCACAUCCAAAUGUAGAUUCUGUCUCUGUAAUUGGACGAGUUUCUUGUCCCGGAUUCACAGUUGACGAGAAACUUCCCGGAGACAGGAAACUCGUCUCCAGUGGGAAAACGGAUAAAAAUAAUAACAACUGAGUGUGCUUUAGCACUAUGAGUAGCCGCCCAGGCUAUGUUAAUGUGACAACUUUUCGUAUCCAGUCACUGGAAUUACUAGAGCUAGCUAUGAACUUGAACGGUCGAUCCUUAGAGGGAAUUUGCAGCGUGCCAGUUCAGAUGCAGCGAAAUGUUAAUGACUUUGGUGUGUUUGAAAUUGCCUUUGCAACUAGUAUCGCUGCAAAAGAGACAUAAACGUCUUCGAAAGGGGCGAAAUCAUGGUAACAAAUGCUAUAUUAAUUGUAGAAUGCGUCCGCGCCUGUUGCAUUGCUUGAUGCAUUAUGGAAAGAAAUAUCACUCCUUUCCCUAUCUCUUGAACUUCCUAUGUACAGAUUGCAUACAAGUUCUACCUUUUCAGCCCCUUUUUAAGUUUCAAGUACAUGGCUUGAAUUACAAACUUUAUUAUCUUACAAACUUUAUGUCUAUAAAUUGCCCAAAAAACACUGUGAGAUUUUUUUGACCAAUUGUACAGGACUGAUAUGAUUACAACAUUAUACUACUAACAUUUAUGAUUCAUUUUUGUUUUCCAUGCUUAUUUCCCAUCCUCGGAAACCCAUGGGUGUUUUCCUCUAACAAUUCAUUCGCAAGAAAAAUAACCCCUGGGAAAAGUAAGGAAUAAACUUGGCAAAAAAAGCCGUCGCGACAGAGUGCAGCGGCUGGGAUACUUGGGGACAAAACAUGUCAAAAGCUGUCGUCGAUCCAUCAACUUUGGCGGCAAAACUUUGUGGGAAAUCUAUCGCUUGUAGAUUUGAAUGCUGGGUGCUCUCCAUAGUAUGUUGUUUUGCAAGCUCGACCUUUUGUAAGAAUUUUAAGACAAUAUCGGUUAGGCGGCUUUCUGCACUAGGAAAUGUGCGCCACCCCAAGAAAGCCAGUGGGAAAUUAUUAAAGUUAUUCGGCACGCAGUCACUAGGGGAAAAACUGUCUUCGGUUACUGGAAGAAACAACUCACAACAGAUGCUUUCUAAAUUUAUGUGCUCAUUUUGCAAACCUAGAAUAAUUCGAUGCCAUAAAAUGAAUCUAGAUGUCGCUUCUUUGUCAGAAUUUAAAGAGCCGGCCAAGGAGAUGUGGAAAGUAGGAGGACAGUAGCAGUAGUGGCAGAAAUUCCUGCCACAGUAGUGGCAGAAAUACACCUCCGAACGCUGAUAUAGAGUUUUUUCAGCAAGAACUUGAGUCUCUUCCUCUACCGAUACGGAAACAUCAAACUAUAACGGGAAAAACACGGCCAGAAACUCUUCAAAUAUUGCAACAGACCCUCCUUGUACCUCUGCACAACAAUCGGAAAAAUUAUCUGAUCAGGGAUCUCUACCAGUUGCAAUAAAUACCAUCAAAGCUGUGUCAGACAAAGGAAUCGUUUUAAAAUAAACAAACUUGAUACUACCGGAGGCUAUUUCCCUGAAAUUGUUUACCAAGUUUGAGCUGCGAUAUCUUCUACACAAAAAUCCGAAUUCCUUUGAAACUUCAGCAAAAGUUUAAGAAGUUAUUCAGGCUUACAGGAAAAAUAUUUUUUGUCACUUCGUUGGAAAAUGCGAAAUCUGAUGCCUGCAAAAAUUUGACUUCGUGGCGAAUUUUUCCGCGACUAUGCAAGCUAUCGAAAUAAAAAUGGGUAAGCACCUUCCUUAGUUAUUUUUAAAAAAUCUAGCAAGCGUGCGACACGAAAUAUUUAUUUGAAUGUUUGGGGGCGCGAAAUAAGAAUGAUUGGAAAAAAUCGAAAAUCAUUCGAAGAGAAUUUGUUUUAUGAUGUCGCACUCCGGUGAGAAUUUUGCAGUAUUCUUACUUGUCUUAAAAUUUCGUGCAGAAAUAUUUAAACACGGAGUUCCGGUAUAAAAAGGCGAGCCCCGGGCACUCGCGGGUGGUCUCAUUGUCACUCAACCUCCUAGAGUAAAGAGCUCCCGGAGAACCUCCAUAAAAAUUCAAAUCGCCGCCAUUACCAUUGCUUUUUCUAACUACGCCUGCCUACGAGUUUGAGCUUCCACAUCCUUCAAAAGGCGAUAAUAGGUAAGAAAAACACUUUACUUGCAAUUCUGCUAUUUCUCUUUAGCAAAAAGCUCAUAAUUUUCGUUUAUUUUUUAGUGGCAAAAAUCGAUAAGAUUUUCAGAGGGGAACGUGACACGAUGCAUGGCGUGCCUUGGAGCAAGUAGCCGUAAAAUAAUGUAGAACCUGUGAAGAUGACGGAUUUAUUUCUCUUUGUAUCUUUGCAUUAGAGUACCAGGAACAUCCUACCUUCAAUGAAUAAGCAAAACAAGACAUUUUGAGCAUUAAAACUCGCUCGUCUCAUCCAGCCAUUUUUUUACAUUCCAAACCUCCCAUUCGCACAACAAAAUCGUCCUUUGCGCUUAGCUUUGAAAAUAAAUUUUUGGGUUUCUCUAUAUCUGAUGGACGUGACAACAUUCCUAGCUAUGUUUCUUUAAAAUAGAUGGCGUUUAAAAAAUGUGUCUGAAAUAAAAAGCGAAAUAAAGGUUCCAAAAGAAUUCUUGUGAUUUAAAGCCGCAUUGUCACCAGUUUACUUCCGGAGGUCCGACGGAAACAACCGUUAAAAGACAGGCCAUCCGCUCUAAAUUAUCAAUCACAUCCUCAAAGAAACUUCCAAUAAACACACUGCUUUCAAUAUUUUGAACUAUUUCUCGCGUUUUCCGUUAAAAAUCAUCGGAUAUUGUUAAGUAAUCGACCGGAAGUAAACUGGUGACAAUGCGGCUUCAAGUUAUAUCUUAAUAACUACUUAAGCUUACACUCUCAUUUAACUUUUAAGUUAUAUUUAAUGAAUUGUCAAUUGCAUUCUUAUUAUGGCAGGGCAAUAAAUAUUUUCUCAAAAAGAAAGAGAACAGCCGUAUUAUCAACUGUAUUUUGACUUAUAAUUGUCUAGUUUGAAUUUGAUUCAUCUGUAAAUAACAUCAUGUUUUUCAAGUACAACUACAACUUAGUCUAUAUAGGUAUUUGAUUCUAAAUGAUAUAAGUAAAGUCCAUGGAAAAUAAUGUUGUAGACAGUAUCCUGCUAGUUCGAAUAUUUUGUAAUAAAAGAUUGACUGAUUAAAAUUUGAAGUACUUGGUACAAAGUUGAUUGAGACCCCCUCUGCUGCUCAAUGAGGGGCUUGUAUAGCCAUUAGCUGGGCAAGGUUUUGAAAAAAAAAAAAGCAGAAACAUUCUCAGACCCUGGCCUAUCCAAGAGGGCAUAUAUGGUCCAUCCCACUAUACCUGAAACCAAACUCUACCUGGAGUAGAGCAAGCCACCCCAUGCUUUUAGAUCCACUGUAGUCACCCACAGUGUGCUUAGUAUCCAAAAACAGAUAUGUAUCAAUGUUGAUAAAGUAUUUUCAUUUUGCAUUCUAUACAUGAUUUUGAUCAGAUGUUAAAAGACUAUUCACUUACUCGCUGCCAUCCUUUGACAGGAAUUAGCCAGGAUUUGGGGAGUUGGGGAUGGCAUAUUAUUAAAAAUGGCUUAAAAUCUGGAGAAUUAUUUUGAAAGAAUGGUAUCACUGCUUUUCGGUGGCUAAGAAGGGUGUAUGCACACCUGUGUUUACCACCUGUAUUUCUUGAAAAGUAAAACCACUUAAUUACUAGCUUUUGAUUAGAAUACAAAGUCAAUGGGAUAAAAGAACUAAGCUCUAGAAAACUUGAAUCAUGCAAGAUGCAUCAAACACACUAAUAGUAAGAACCUACAACGACAAAGCAGAAAAGGGUAUGGGCUGCCAGAGCCAUAUGUAACAAAAAAAAAUAUCCCCUCCCCCCUUUGUCACUGAGCCAAACCCCCUUUAGCGAAAAGCUAGAUCCGCCCCUGGUUAUAAUCAAGCUACUUUAUGAUAAUUAGCCAAAUUUGCUUCUGUUGCUCACAUGAACAGCUAACAAUAGCAUGUGUUUCUAUUUGAUAGUGUAUACUUGAGAAUCUUUAUUAAAAUUUGAGGAUUAAAGUCAAGGAAGAAAGCCAAUUCAUGGAUGCCAGGUGGCAUCGAGGGAGGUCAGAAUACUAACAAACACUAACAAACUCUCUCGUCAUUAUUUUCCUCCUUCCACCUUCAUUGUAUUUUUCCCUACACACUUCACCUAAAGAAGGUUAACAGGUAUCUCUCAUGGAGCACUGUAAGCAAACAAAAAUAAUGGAGGGAGGGAAGAUGUCAGAAAUGUCAAUACUCUUUUUACAUUACACACCAUUCUAGAAAAUAAAAUUUUAUUUCUCUGGAGAUUUUUUUAAUAUAUUCAGGGACUAGAGAUGGGCAUCAUUUCUCCGAUAAGCACCUGAAAUACUUUAAAGUUUAAUAAUUUGUUAUAUUUUUUCUGGUUUGUACUUUUAAUAAGCUUCAAGGAACAGUAUGGUAUAAGAAGUACUUGCAAAAAAAAAAAAAAAAAAAGAGCUCACCAUAAUUUCAAAA